UCUGGUUGAUCCUGCCAGUAGUUAUAUGCUUGUCUCAAAGAUUAAGCCAUGCAUGUCUAAGUACACACGAAUUAAAAGUGAAACCGCAAAAGGCUCAUUAUAUCAGUUAUGGUUCCUUAGAUCGUUAACAGUUACUUGGAUAACUGUGGUAAUUCUAGAAUACAUGCAAUUAAAACAUGAACCUUAUGGGACAUGUGCUUUUAUUAGGCUAAAACCAAGCGAUCGCAAGAUCGUUUAUUUGGUUGAACUCUAGAUAACAUGCAGAUCGUAUGGUCUUGUACCGACGACAGAUCUUUCAAAUGUCUGCCCUAUCAACUUUUGAUGGUAGUAUCUAGGACUACCAUGGUUGCAACGGGUAACGGGGAAUCAGGGUUCGAUUCCGGAGAGGGAGCCUGAGAAACGGCUACCACAUCUAAGGAAGGCAGCAGGCGCGUAAAUUACCCACUCCCAGCUCGGGGAGGUAGUGACGAAAAAUAACAAUACAGGACUCAUAUCCGAGGCCCUGUAAUUGGAAUGAGUACACUUUAAAUCCUUUAACAAGGACCAAUUGGAGGGCAAGUCUGGUGCCAGCAGCCGCGGUAAUUCCAGCUCCAAUAGCGUAUAUUAAAGUUGUUGCGGUUAAAACGUUCGUAGUUGAACUUGUGCUUCAUACGGGUAGUACAACUUACAAUUGUGGUUAGUACUAUACCUUUAUGUAUGUAAGCGUAUUACCGGUGGAGUUCUUAUAUAUGUUUAAAUACUUGUAUUUUUUCAUAUGUUCCUCCUAUUUAAAAACCUGCAUUAGUGCUCUUAAACGAGUGUUAUUGUGGGCCGGUACAAUUACUUUGAACAAAUUAGAGUGCUUAAGCAGGCUUCAAAUGCCUGAAUAUUCUGUGCAUGGGAUAAUGAAAUAAGACCUCUGUUCUGCUUUCAUUGGUUUUCAGAUCAAGAGGUAAUGAUUAAUAGAAGCAGUUUGGGGGCAUUAGUAUUACGACGCGAGAGGUGAAAUUCUUGGACCGUCGUAAGACUAACUUAAGCGAAAGCAUUUGCCAAAGAUGUUUUCAUUAAUCAGAACGAAAGUUAGAGGUUCGAAGGCGAUAUAGUUCUAUAAACGAUGCCAGCUAGCAAUUGGGUGUAGCUACUUUUAUGGCUCUCUCAGUCGCCGGGAAACAAAGCUUUUGGGCUCCGGGGGAAGUAUGGUUGCAAAGCUGAAACUUAAAGGAAUUGACGGAAGGGCACCACCAGGAGUGGAGCCUGCGGCUUAAUUUGACUCAACACGCGAAUCUAUGGUGGUGGUGCAUGGCCGUUCUUAGUUCGUGGAGUGAUAAUUCCGAUAACGAACGAGACUCAAAUAUAUUAAAUAGAUAUCUUCAGGAUUAUGGUGCUGAAGCUUAUAUAGCCUUCAUUCAUAGUUGCAGUAAAAUGUAUAUUGUGUUUGAAUGUGUUUAUAUAAGUGGAGCCGUACCUGUUGGUUUGUCCCAUUAUAAGGACACUAGCUUCUUAAAUGGACAAAUUGCGUCUAGCAAUAAUGAGAUUGAGCAAUAACAGGUCUGUGAUGCCCUUAGAUGUCCUGGGCUGCACGCGCGCUACAAUGAAAGUAUCAACGUGUAUUUCCUAGACCGAGAGGUCCGGGUAAACCGCUGAACCACUUUCAUGCUUGGGAUUGUGAACUGAAACUGUUCACAUGAACUUGGAAUUCCCAGUAAGUGUGAGUCAUUAACUCGCAUUGAUUACGUCCCUGCCCUUUGUACACACCGCCCGUCGCUACUACCGAUUGAAUUAUUUAGUGAGGUCUCCGGACGUGAUCACUGUGACGCCUCGCGUGUUACGGUUUUUCGCAAAGUUGACCGAACUUGAUUAUUAGAGGAAGUAAAAGUCGUAACAAGGUUUUCCGUAGGUGAACCUGCGGAAG
rnacentral:rRNA from 1 species